GAUGAACGCUGGCGGCGUGCCUAAUACAUGCCAGUCGAGCGCACAGACGAGGAGCUUGCUCCUCUGACGAUUGCCGCGGGCGGGUGUGUCACACGUGGAUACCCUACCUAUAAGACUGGGAUCUCUUCGAGACACCGGAGCUAAUCCCGUAUAAUAUAUUGAUCCACGUGGUUCAUUAGUGAAAGACGGCUUUGCCGUUACUAAUAGAUCGAUCCGCGUCGUAUUGGCUAGUUGGUAAGGUAACGGCUUACCAAGGCAAGGAUGAGUAGCCGACCUGAGAGGGUGAUCGGCCACACGGGAACGGAGCCACGGUCCAGACUCCUACGGGAGGCAGCGGAGGGAAAUCUUCGGAAAUGGGCGAAAGCCUGACGGAGCAACGCGGCGUGGUGGAUGAAGGUCUUCGAUUCGUAAACCCCGGUGAAUGGGGAAGAAGAAAUGUGGAAGUAACUAUUCACGUCUUGACGGUACCUAAUCAGAAAGCCACGGCUAACUACGUG
rnacentral:rRNA from 1 species